rnacentral:rRNA from 1 species
UNUGGUCUGUCACUGACGCUGAGGCUCGAAAGCGUGGGUAGCGAACAGGAUUAGAUACCCUGGUAGUNCACGCCGUAAACGCUGAGUGCUAGGUGUUAGGUCCUUUCCGGGACUUAGUGCCGACGCUAACGCAUUAAGCACUCCGCCUGGGGAGUACGACCGCAAGGUUGAAACUCAAAGGAAUUGACGGGGGCCCGCACAAGCGGUGGAGCAUGUGGUUUAAUUCGAAGCAACGCGAAGAACCUUACCAGGUCUUGACAUCCCGAUGCCCGCUCUAGAGAUAGAGUUUUACUUUUUGUACAUCGGAGACAGGUGGUGCAUGGUUGUCGUCAGCUCGUGUCGUGAGAUGUUGGGUUNNNNNNNNNNACGAGCGCAACCCUUAUUGUUAGUUGCCAUCAUUAAGUUGGGCACUCUAGCGAGACUGCCGGUAAUAAACCGGAGGAAGGUGGGGAUGACGUCAAAUCAUCAUGCCCCUUAUGACCUGGGCUACACACGUGCUACAAUGGUUGGUACAACGAGUCGCAAGCCGGUGACGGCAAGCUAAUCUCUGAAAGCCAAUCUCAGUUCGGAUUGUAGGCUGCAACUCGCCUACAUGAAGUCGGAAUCGCUAGUAAUCGCGGAUCAGCACGCCGCGGUGAAUACGUUCCCGGGCCU